AUUUCUAGGUUUAGUCGUCUAUCAAUAUCGGAUAUUUAGAUAGCUAAGUCGUAAGUUUAAAACAUAAUGUUUUUCACGCAAAUUGAAAAAAAUACAUACAUGUUUAAAAGACCCAUUCAAGUCCUAUUGUUUUUUUUCAAAGUUUAGAUUUAUAAGAGUAAAUGGCAUGAUUUUUUUUUUAAAUUGAAGAUUCUUAUCAAAUGUGUUCUUCUGUAUAUCAUGUUGACUUGUUAACGCCUCGCUAUAAACGCGAGCUCCCUUAUCAUGUUUAAAAAACCUUGAAAACUUUAUAUGAUAUAGAAUGAAAUUCAAAACAGUGUAGCUGUGGCCAUUGAUUGACACAUUAAAAUCAUCCAUUGACUGGGACAAUUUACGUGAACGUUUGUCUGUAACGACCACUGUUCACGACGUACCUACGAUAGACAUUUAAACUGUGGGUCACCAAAGGUUUCUUAACGCCUUUAAUUAUAAAAUAAUUCGAAAAAUUAAUCAGGAAUAACCUUUGUGUUUUGAUUUAUAUAAUUGAUAUAAAUCAAAAUAUCGUGUUAUUUCUGAUUAAUUUUUCGAAAUACUUUAUUUAGGUGUUGAGAACCUUUGGUGACCCCAUAGUUUAAGUGUCUUUAAAAAGUACAUAGUGAGCAUUGGUCGUUACAUACAAACGUUCACCUAAAUUGUCCCAGUCAAUGGAUGAUUUUAAUGUGUCAAUCAAUGGCCACAGCUACACUGUUUUGAAUUUCAUUCUAUAUGCAAAAGAAAGGUUUUGAUCCAGGUUUUGCACUUCCCGGAUCACUCAAUUUUUCGGAAGCUAAAUACACAAAUUAAUUUUCACGUCAGCUUUGAAUGUUACUCAAAGGGUUUGGGCCAAAUAAAGUUUAUUGCAUAGAUGUCUCUGAACAUAGAAAUGUAAUAUUGCAGGUGAGGGAUCCAACCCUUGGCUAGAGAAGAUGUCUUUGAUAUUAAUUUGUCCUCAUUCUAUUUUCAGUAUUUGAUUUAAACUCAACACAAUACUAUUGAUUUUUGUCAUUUUAGAGAUGCAUUUGCGUAUAGUAUGUUUACGUUCAGCUCUUUUGAUUGUCAUUGUAAUGAAUGGAAUGGUGCAAUGCGGUUUACCAUGUACUUCAUGUAGACCAAAAUUCAUCUUCAUCUGCGAUUACCGUGGCCACUUGACACUUUUUAAAUUUUUAAGGCGAUGUCACUGGAGUAUUAAGUGCAGGUGUCCGCCUACUACGACACCUAAACCAAGAAAGCCAUCUUUGGAUUGUAAAGGAUGCCACAAGUUAUGCGAAAAAGCGGUAUCUGGUAAUCCGUGGUAUUAUUGUUUGAAACGAGCAUGUCCAAUCGGGAGCACAAGCGAAAUUUGUUUCUUUCAGAAUUCUUUAAAAAUAA
rnacentral:lncRNA from 1 species